rnacentral:rRNA from 1 species
AGUGAACGCUGGCGGUAGGCCUAACACAUGCAAGUCGAACGGCAGCACAGUAAGAGCUUGCUCUUACGGGUGGCGAGUGGCGGACGGGUGAGGAAUACAUCGGAAUCUACUUUUUCGUGGGGGAUAACGUAGGGAAACUUACGCUAAUACCGCAUACGACCUACGGGUGAAAGCAGGGGAUCUUCGGACCUUGCGCGAUUGAAUGAGCCGAUGUCGGAUUAGCUGGUUGGCGGGGUAAAGGCCCACCAAGGCGACGAUCCGUAGCUGGUCUGAGAGGAUGAUCAGCCACACGGGAACUGAGACACGGUCCAGACUCCUACGGGAGGCAGCAGUGGGGAAUAUUGGACAAUGGGCGCAAGCCUGAUCCAGCCAUACCGCGUGGGUGAAGAAGGCCUUCGGGUUGUAAAGCCCUUUUGUUGGGAAAGAAAAGCAGCAGGUUAAUACCCCGCUGUUCUGACGGUACCCAAAGAAUAAGCACCGGCUAACUUCGUG